GCCAUUUGAUUUCUCGGCCUUUGCUUGAUCCACUCCAAAAAAGUCACUUUAGUCAUUCUUAUUGAAUCUUCUUCAAAAAAUUCAUCCUUCAAAAGUUCUUCAAAUUUCUUCUAUAAUAUAGCCUUAGUAUGUAACUCUUAUAUUCUCUCUCUGAUUUUUGGUAUCAUUGCCAAAUCAAAUGUGGUAAUUAUCUUCAUUUAUGAAACUUGAUGCACUUCCAUUUCAUACGUAUAAAUCCUUAGGAGCUUAAAGAUAUUCCUCCCAUCAAACCUUCUAACCUUAUCCACUACUACUUAUAAAGCUUUAGUAGUGUUUUUAUUUUCUCCAUGUACUUAUUGCCUCUCUUCCAUAAAUUGAGCAAAUACUAUAAAUAAAUCAUAGGCACCCACUCGACCUAGUAAUGAAAAUCCAUGAUUUUG
rnacentral:lncRNA from 1 species